ACGGGUGAGUAACGCCUAGGAAUCUGCCUGGUAGUGGGGGACAACGUUUCGAAAGGAACGCUAAUACCGCAUACGUCCUACGGGAGAAAGCAGGGGACCUUCGGGCCUUGCGCUAUCAGAUGAGCCUAGGUCGGAUUAGCUAGUUGGUGAGGUAAUGGCUCACCAAGGCGACGAUCCGUAACUGGUCUGAGAGGAUGAUCAGUCACACUGGAACUGAGACACGGUCCAGACUCCUACGGGAGGCAGCAGUGGGGAAUAUUGGACAAUGGGCGAAAGCCUGAUCCAGCCAUGCCGCGUGUGUGAAGAAGGUCUUCGGAUUGUAAAGCACUUUAAGUUGGGAGGAAGGGUUGUAGAUUAAUACUCUGCAAUUUUGACGUUACCGACAGAAUAAGCACCGGCUAACUCUGUGCCAGCAGCCGCGGUAAUACAGAGGGUGCAAGCGUUAAUCGGAAUUACUGGGCGUAAAGCGCGCGUAGGUGGUUUGUUAAGUUGGAUGUGAAAUCCCCGGGCUCAACCUGGGAACUGCAUCCAAAACUGGCAAGCUAGAGUAUGGUAGAGGGUGGUGGAAUUUCCUGUGUAGCGGUG
rnacentral:rRNA from 1 species